UAAAGAAGAGAGGAUAGUUUUUAUGUAAUGAGAUAUUAGAUUAGAACUAGAAUUCGUUAGAAAAAGCAAAUAUUAGACAGUAAAUACCCCAAAAAAAUUAUUUAAACGGAUCAAAACAAAGGGCGAAAAUGUAUUAACCAAAAUAUAUUGUUUUUUUAUAUGGUUGAUUUGGAUGAGAAGAUUAUUUUUUUUUCCUUUUUUUAAC
rnacentral:lncRNA from 1 species